UACGUAGGGUGCGAGCGUUAAUCGGAAUUACUGGGCGUAAAGCGUGCGUAGGCGGUUCGUUGUGUCCUGUGUGAAAGCCCCGGGCUUAACCUGGGAAUGGCAUGGGAAACUGGCGAGCUUGAGUGCGGCAGAGGGGGGUGGAAUUCCGCGUGUAGCAGUGAAAUGCGUAGAGAUGCGGAGGAACACCGAUGGCGAAGGCAGCCCCCUGGGUCGACACUGACGCUCAGGCACGAAAGCGUGGGGAGCAAACAGG
rnacentral:rRNA from 1 species